rnacentral:rRNA from 1 species
UUCGGUGUCUUUAGCGGAGAGGAAACACCUGUUCCCAUCCCGAACACAGAAGUUAAGCUUUUCAGCGCCGAUGGUAGUUGGGCGUAUGCCCUGCAAGAGUAGGUCGAUGCCGAAU